rnacentral:lncRNA from 1 species
AAUAUAUGGAAAUAGUGGGAAGUUUAAUGAGGGCAUUACUCAAGCACGUUCGGACCUUGAUUUUUUUUUCAAGAUUUUGACGUAUACUUUGGUUUUUGUUUUUCAGAUAAUCACUUUAUCAACCAUUCUAAGGUCUUGGAUAAAUAAUUUUCUUGUAAUUCAGGAAACUGAUUUUCAAAAAACAAAUUCACCUUUUAAACAAAAACCAAAACCACUCCUUAUAGAUUUUCAACAAAAUUGCUAUUAGUAUUUUUUUCAUCAAUAUUACUAUUUUCUUCAUUUAACUUUAACAAAAUAUCAUUUUUGUAUAAGAGAAAAGUUUUCAUACUUUUACACAUCUCUAUUAUAAUAAUUUAUAACAAUGUAUUUUCUAAAAAUUAUGAUAUAACACACUUAUGCAUUAUU